AAAAAGAUAAACCCUAAUUUCCGUGUCUAACGUUUGACUAUCCGAAUUUCUUUUAUAAUUAGUAUUUUCAUUGUUGUUAGAUGAUAAAACAUGAUUAAUAUGUGACUUGUCUUUUUAUUUUUUUUAUAUUUUUUUUAAAUAAGACGGACGGUCAAACGUUGGACACAGAAACCCAGG
rnacentral:pre_miRNA from 1 species